AGAGUUUGAUCCUGGCUCAGGAUGAACGCUAGCAGAACGCCUAACACAUGCAAGUCGAACGAAUAUUGAUUUUCGGAUUAAUAUUAGUGGCAAACGGGCGAGUAACACGUAUCUAACCUGCCCUUGAGUGAGGCACAACUAUGGAGACAUAGCUAAUUCCUCAUACGUCCCGAUAAAUGAAAUAAUCGGGAGAAAGAUUUAUCGCUCAAGGAGGGGGGUGCGGCCUAUCAGGUAGUUGGUGAGGUAAUGGCUCACCAAGCCUAUGACGGGUAGCCGGUCUGAGAGGAUGUCCGGCCGCAAUGGAACUGAGAACGGUCCAUACUCCUACGGGAGGCAGCAGUGGGGAAUAUUGGACAAUGGGCGAAAGCCUGAUCCAGCGAUUCUGCGUGAAGGAUUGAAGCCUCGUGGGGUGUAAACUUCUUUUCUGGGAGAAGACGAAUGACGGUAUCUCAGGAAUAAGAGACGGCUAACUACGGUG
rnacentral:rRNA from 1 species